ACUGGGUGUUACUCUGUUGGGCUGUUUGUUGGGGUCUGUGGCUCAUGAUGUUGGACAUGUGGCAGUUUUAUGCCUGUGUGAGAAAUAUAGCUAUCCUAUAGCUUGAUGAUUACGCUUUUAUUUAUUAUUCUUAAAGAAGUAUGCCAACUUUCCUUCCACAGUUUAGAUAACAGGGGGAAAAGUUAUGGAGAAAAUUGACAGCAAUGUGAGUUUAAAUAGAACGUGGCAGCCGGGCCAGAGAAUGAAGCAGGGAGUAGCACCAUGGACAGAGCCUAGCAGAUCCUGAACAGAGGAUGGCGAAGUCUGAUAGUCUUUUCGGCCCCUCCCUGGAGACGAGGAAACUGGAAUUCUUGGGAAAGAUUCAUUCCACAGACUUUAAGGACAAAGCUGUCCUACUCAGCGGACCCACGUUUGUUUUGAAUUGAGCUGGCUUUUGCUAGGACCCGGCCAUCGUGACAAACCGCCAGGAGGGUGAGAGCCGGGAACUCGCUGCACACCCUCCGCGGUCCCCUGGCCAUACACCCCUUUGCCCCGCUGAGCCUGCCGGUCAUCACAGUGGUCAGGCAAAAUAAACGCAAAUCCAGGUAGUCCUCCACAAGUCUGCUGAAGUCCUCGAAAUUCCCAGCGAGCAUCGCAACAAAAAACGCCUCCUCUCCCACCCUUGCUCCCCUCCCCCCACUCUUCCUCUCCCGGCUCCCGCCGCCUCCUGGCCGAGGGGCCCAGCCUUUCAUCCGAAGUAACUUUUAGCCGGAUAAACUCGCGUCUUCCCAGAGCUUCAAAGGGCGGUGCUGGCGACCAGAUCAAACCCUUGCCCCGCAGAGCAAGUGUCCGCACGGGGGGCACGGGGACAAAGGCGGAGUCUGGACCAGAGAAGACUGAGGCCCGGGGAGACACCGCGGCGAGAGAAACAGCUGUCUUAUCAGCCCGCUGCAGAGACGGAGAUGGCUGGAGAGGUCCUCAACAGAUAAUCACUUGAAUAGGUUUGCAAUGCGCCAAACUUCACGCUUGAUAAGGCCAACCCAAUGUAGAGAGCAGCCCGGAUCCUGCUCCAUUCUGUUUUAUCUGGGCUGUAAAUUAAGAAAUUGAAAUUCAGGUGGCAGAGGCGGCAGUCUGCUCACAGACCGCUAAAGUAAACUGUCAUGAAAAUGCUUUGGGCAGGCAGAGAGGGGGCCCCUGGAAAGGGAUACUUUUUUUUUUUUAAAUGGGGGCGUGGAGCAGUGAGAGAAAAAGCCCACCGGUUUUAAAAAUUACCUGGGGAGGGGAAGCUGUAAGGAGGAGGAGCAAAGGGACAUAUCACUUUGGUCAUGAUUCCAAGUCAUAGCUGUGAUGCAUAAAAAAAAAUUGAAAAGGAUAAAGUUGUUUGAAGUUUGGGGUAAUAGAGAUUAAGGAACAGUUUGAACCAAUUUGCUAGAAAACAGAAUCCUGUCUUUUUCAGAGCAUGGGCCACAAGGAAGCAUUAGAAACAGAUUCCGAAUGGACUCUCAAGUUUUCCUUUUGUUGUAAGAAAGUCAGACCAACCAGAUACAGAAGAGUUACCAGCAGCUAGAGGUUAACUUGACCUUGUUUGUUGAAGUGCUAGAGCCACCUGAGAGACUUCAGGGUGAUUUUGGAAUAACCUGAGAAGUUGUUAGCCACAGAAAAGGAUCUGCUUAGCUACUUAGGGGAAUAAGUCCUGUAUCACCCCCGCCCCCUGUACCCAGGUGAUUACUAUGGGCUAAGUCAGGAAACAACAAAUUCCAGGUGUGUAUUUGCCACCACCUGCUUGUUGCAGCACACUUUUUAUUACACUCUGGUCUGCUGUUAUGAACAUGAGGCAUGGAAUCCUAUGCAUUAUUUGAAUAAAUGUUUCAUAAAAAGUUUUAAAUGCACAAUGAUCAGAACAGAGCCAGUGACCUUGAUUCACUAAGGACCUGGUACUGUACCUUGCUCUUUGGGUAGCUGAGCAGAUUGUCAAUUCACUGGUGUACGAUUUUGAGAGUGCAUAAGCAUGAGAGGAUGCAUCCCAUUUUUCCACAACAGCAUUUAUAUUUUAAGUUUCAGCAGCAUUUCUAAAAAGGUACCUUCGGAUGAUAACACAUAGUUAAUGCAGCUUUAGAAAAUCAAUCAGUUUUUACUUUGUUUAACCCCAAAACUUUGAUCGAUGUCAGAGUGCACUUAAUUGACAAUAUAAAGGCUGCUCAAAUCACAGUGGGAUGAGGAAGAAUUAGAAAUGAGUUUGCCAGGAAAUGUGAUGAGGAAAAAUUUAAGAUGCUGGUCUACGUUUCAGUAGUUAUUAAACCAUAGAGAUCUAUUAAAAAACAAGUCCUUUACAAUUUGAAGUUGUCAUCUGAUUAUUCAUAGGCAGGUAAACAAAUAUAAGUCAUGACAUCUCAAACACACUUAUGUUGAAUACUUUAUACAAAAGUAUAAAGUAU